CGCACAUUGCGCCCCUCGGUAUUCCGUGGGGCAUGCCUGUUCGAGCGUCAUUUAAACCCUCAAGCACUGCUUGGUGUUGGGCGUCUGUCCCGCUUCGUGCGUGGACUCGCCCCAAAGUCAUUGGCGGCGGUCGUGCCAGCUUCUCGCGCAGCAUACGCGCUACGGAGGCAAGUCGAUCAGCAUCCACAAAGCACUUUUCACAGUUUGACCUCGGAUCAGGUAGGGAUACCCGCUGAACUUAA
rnacentral:misc_RNA from 1 species